UAACUCUGCUGUCGAAGCUGAAGCGCAAGGAAUGGUAUUGUUGCUGCCCUCUGCAACGAUGUUGAUGUCAGGCUUCACCUGGAGUCGGACUGUGCUGCAUGCGCUCAUCUCAGGAUUUCAGGCUACCGCUGUCGACCGACCGAUCGACCAUUUGCUUCGUUCUGGCUGACAUUAAGGCACAACUUCUUACUCAACUCUGUUGCUCACGAGCUAGCGCAGUACGCUAGGAAUAUUGGCUCAUCUGGUACACUUGUUGCUGCUGUACAGUACUGUUCGGCUCAAGGCCUGGACGCUACAAUUUGUAACCCUCUGUCCGAUAUGAGUUCAUGGAAAGCUUUUCCUUCAAAAAAAAAAAAGUUGGUGGAGACCCUGUGCAAGAGCUAGCUCGGCUGCUUCACGUCGAACCCAGGGGAGACCAGCAGCCACGAACCGCGCUGCUUCACGUCCCGGACCGAAC
rnacentral:lncRNA from 1 species